UUAGUGGCGGACGGGUGAGUAACGCGUGGAUAACCUGCCGUAUACAGGGGGAUAACACUUAGAAAUAGGUGCUAAUACCGCAUAAGCGCACGGUUCCGCAUGGAACAGUGUGAAAAACUCCGGUGGUAUACGAUGGAUCCGCGUCUGAUUAGCCAGUUGGCGGGGUAACGGCCCACCAAAGCGACGAUCAGUAGCCGGCCUGAGAGGGUGAACGGCCACAUUGGGACUGAGACACGGCCCGAACUCCUACGGAAGGCAGCAG
rnacentral:rRNA from 1 species